AUAAUUGGUGAUUAUAACGUCCGUAUAUAAAUCAGUAUUUGUCAACUCUUUGGUAUUGGAAGAAAAAAUGCCUGGUGUCAUACCUAAUGAAAGUAAUGGGCUUUCAAGAGGUAGUCCAUCAAAGAAAAACAGACUUUCCUUUAAGUUUUUUCAGAAAAAGGAAACUAAGAGAGCCUUGGAUUUCACAGAUUCUCAAGAAAAUGAAGAAAAGGUUUCUUCUGAUUAUAGAGGAUCUGAAAUUGAUCAAGUUGUUCCUGCGGCACAGUCCUCACCUAUGAAUUGUGAGAAGAGAGAAAACUUGUUACCAUUUGUGGGGCUAAAUAAUCUUGGCAAUACUUGUUACCUUAAUAGUAUACUUCAGGUAUUAUAUUUUUGUCCUGGUUUUAAAUCUGGAGUGAAGCACUUAUUUAAUAUUAUUUCAAGGAAGAAAGAAGCUCUUAAAGAUGAAGCCAAUCAAAAAGAGAAGGAAAAUUGUAAAGAAGACUCUUUGAUAAGUUAUGAACUCAUAUGCAGUUUACAGUCCUUCAUCAUUUCAGUUGAACAGCUUCAGGCUAGUUUUCUUUUAAAUCCAGAAAGAUACACUGAUGAACUUGCUACUCAGCCAAGACGACUACUUAACACACUCAGGGAACUCAACCCUAUGUACGAAGGAUAUCUACAGCAAGAUGCACAGGAAGUAUUACAGUGUAUUUUGGGAAACAUUCAAGAAACAUGCCAACUCCUAAAAAAAGAAGAAGUAAAAAAUGUGGCAGAAUUAUCUGACAAGGUAGAAGAAAAACCUAAUCAGAGAGAGGCAAUUAAUGGGGUUAAUAGCACAGAGAUGGACAAUAUGGGCCAUACUGAAGGCUAUAAAGAAAAACUCCCAAAAGGAAAUGGGAAGAGAAAAAGUGACACUGAAUUUGGUAACAUGAAGAAAAAGGUUAAGGUAUCCAAGGAACACCAGUCAUUGGAAGAGAACCAGAGACAAACCAGAUCAAAAAGAAAAGCUACAGGUGAUAUAUUAGAGAUUCCUCCUAAAACAGUCACUAAGCACAUUCCUGCAAAUGAGAGUGCAAGACCCUCACAGAAGAAAUCAAAAGUUAAAAUAAGUUGGUUAAAGUCUGCAACUAAGCAACCCAGCAUCCUUUCUAAAUUCUGUAGUUUGGGGAAAAUAAACCAAGGAUCCAAAGGACAAUCUAAAGAAAAUGAAGAUGAUCUUGAAGAGGACUCUGGGAAGUGUGAAAAUGAUAACACAGUUAUUGGCCGUGGACUUGAAGCUCCAGGACAUAAUGUUAAGUCCAUUAAUGGCAAUGACGUUAAGCCCAUCAACAAAGGCACAGAGCAAAUUGGUUUUGAGCUUGUAGAGAAGUUAUUUCAAGGUCAGCUGGUAUUAAGAACUCGCUGUUUAGAAUGUGAAAGUCUAACAGAAAGAAUAGAAGAUUUUCGAGACAUCAGUGUGCCAGUACAAGAAGAGAAGCUCUCUAAAGUAGAGGAGAGUUCUGAAAUUUCCCCAGAGCCAAAAACAGAAACGAAGACCCUGAGGUGGGCAAUUUCACAAUUUGCUUCAGUGGAGAGGAUUGUUGGAGAAGAUAAAUAUUUCUGUGAAAAUUGCCAUCAUUAUACUGAAGCUGAACGAAGUCUUCUGUUUGACAAAAUGCCUGAAGUUAUAACCAUUCAUUUGAAGUGUUUUGCUGCUAGUGGCUUGGACUUUGAUUGUUAUGAUGGUGGACUCUCCAAGAUCAACACUCCUUUUGUGAUGCAUAGUGGCACUACAAUUAGUAGUGGGCACUACACUGCUUCUGUUAAAGUCACAGACCUUAACAGUUUAGAACUAGAUACGGGAAAUUUUGUGCUUGACCAGUUGUGUGAAAUGAGUAAGCCAGAACCACUGAAGGUGGAGGAAGCAAAGGGUAUUGCUGAAAAGGACGAUGAAAUGUCAAUUAGAGUCGAUGGAAACACACAGCCAAGUAAAGUUUUGAACCAAAACAAUGUAGAAGCUAUUGGACUUCUUGGAGGACAAAAGAGCAAAGCAGAUGAUGAGCUAUACAACAAAGGAGCUAAUCCUGACAGCGGUACCAGUACAGCAUUUGCUGAAAAUAGAAACUCUGAGACUAACAUUACUUAUGGGACCCAUGAAUCUGAUAGGAACAAGGAAUCCAGUGACCAAACAGGCAUUAACAUUGGUGGAUUCGAGAAAAUUUCAUAUGGAGUACAAAGCUUAAAGGAGUAUGAGGGGAAGUGGUUGCUUUUUAAUGAUUCUGAAGUAAAAGUUACUGAAGAGAAGGACUUUUUGAAUUCUCUUUCCCCUUCUACAUCGCCUACAUCUACUCCUUAUUUGCUAUUUUAUAAGAAACUAUAGAGUGUACAUUUUCCUUAUGUGUAUGUAUGUAUAUAUAAAAACAGACCCAGAUAAACAUUGAUAAUGUUGAUUACAUCAAAAAGAAUAGCUUAUCUUUUGAAGCUAUUGGAUACUAUUGGUCUCUAGAUUUUUGUAUAGUGAAAUUUGAAUUACUGAAAACCAUGUUAAUUUUUAGAAUUUAUUUUCCUUAGUAGAGACUAGUGAUGUAUUAACUCUGGGAAAAAACUUGUAUAGGUUCUUAAUUGAAUUAUCCAAAAUAAAAGCAUUUAAACACCUUUGA